GACGUAGGGGGCAAGCGUUGUCCGGAAUCAUUGGGCGUAAAGAGCGUGUAGGCGGUCCGGUAAGUCGGCUGUGAAAGUCCAGGGCUCAACCCUGGGAUGCCGGUCGAUACUGCCGGACUAGGGUUCGGAAGAGGCGAGUGGAAUUCCCGGUGUAGCGGUGAAAUGCGCAGAUAUCGGGAGGAACACCUAUGGCGAAGGCAGCUCGCUGGGACGUUACUGACGCUGAGACGCGAAAGCGUGGGGAGCAAACAGG
rnacentral:rRNA from 1 species